rnacentral:misc_RNA from 1 species
AAGACGAUCAUACUCAUGCAUCAUAUGUUCUAAAUCAUCAUCAUUAGUAACAGAAAUUAAAGCAUCAAGGUCCUCACCUGGCAGCUGAUACUUAAAGGAAACAGUAUCCGUAUCACAAAUAGCAGCAAGCUUAGAAAUGAGAAGAGGAAACUUAGUAUUCCGCUCAACAGAUAGUAUUUUAGUUUCACCGCCGAUGUAAGCAAGCUGGUUAUCAUGAGGUCUCGGGUGAAUCUUACCACCAUAACUACACAUGAAUUUGACCUUAUAAUUAGGGAUUUGAUUCGGAUCUUCCCAUGCGGCAGUGUUUUCAAAAUCAAUUUCACGGGAACGGGGAGAUGAAUCGCCGGAUUCAGGGUAAGAGGUGUAAGAGUAGUUCUCCAUGUUUUGGGGGGUUUAGGAGGAUUUUCUACUGUAUUUUUGAUAAGUAGAGUUUAGGCCAUUAGAGAAGACUGAAAAAAAUGGAGAAGAUGGGGGGAUUUUAAGCGGCUGUUUGAGAGAGUGGAAUUACUAUUCUCACCCGUGACUUUACG